CUACGGGAGGCAGCAGUGGGGAAUAUUGGACAAUGGGGGAAACCCUGAUCCAGCAAUGCCGCGUGUGUGAAGAAGGCCUGCGGGUUGUAAAGCACUUUCGGUUGGGAGGACUGCUUCUAGCACUAAUAUUGUUGGAAGUUGACGUUACCUUCAGAAGAAGCACCGGCUAACUCCGUGCCAGCAGCCGCAGGUAAUACGGAGGGUGCAAGCGUUAAUCGGAAUUACUGGGCGUAAAGCGCGCGUAGGCGGCUAGAUCAGUCGGGUGUGAAAGCCCCGGGCUUAACCGGGGAACUGCAUCCGAUACUGUCUAGCUGGAGUACAGGAGAGGAGAGUGGAAUUCCACAUGUAGCGGUGAAAUGCGUAGAUAUGUGGAGGAACACCAAUGGCGAAGGCAGCUCUCUGGCCUGAUACUGACGCUGAGGUGCGAAAGCGUGGGGAGCAAACAGGAUUAGAUACCCCAGUAGUC
rnacentral:rRNA from 1 species